GGUUAAGUGAAUAAGGGCGUACGGUGAAUGCCUUGGCACUAGGAGCCGAUGAAGGACGGGACGAACACCGAUAUGCUUCGGGGAGCUGUAAGUAAGCUUUGAUCCGGAGAUUUCCGAAUGGGGGAACCUCAUUGUUUUUAUCGACAAUGGUCCACGCAGUGAACACAUAGCUGAGUGGAAGGUAGACGUGGUGAACUGAAACAUCUCAGUAGCCACAGGAAGAGAAAGAAAAAUCGAUUUCCCGAGUAGCGGCGAGCGAAACGGAAAGAGGCCAAACCAGCGUGCUUGCAUGCUGGGGUUGUAGGACUGAUGGACGGGAGUGAAUGAGCUAGUCGAACGCCAUGGAAAGGGCGAUCAGAGAGGGUGACAAUCCCGUAGGCGAAAGCUCAGCCACCUCAUUCAGUAUCCUGAGUACGGCGGUACACGUGAAAUUCCGUCGGAAUCCGCCAGGACCAUCUGGCAAGCCUAAAUACUCCCUAGUGACCGAUAGUGAACCAGUACCGUGAGGGAAAGGUGAAAAGCACCCCGGAAGGGGAGUGAAAGAGUACCUGAAACCGUAUGCCUACAAGCAGUCAGAGCCCGUUAAGGGGUGAUGGCGUACUUUUUGUAGAACGGACCGGCGAGUGACGAUAGCAAGCAAGGUUAAGCUGAAGAAGCGGAGCCACAGCGAAAGCGAGUCUGAAGAGGGCGUUGAGUUUGUUGUCGUCGACCCGAAACCAAGUGAUCUACUCAUGUCCAGGCUGAAGGUGUGGUAAAACACACUGGAGGGCCGAACCCACGUCUGUUGAAAAAGGCGGGGAUGAGGUGUGGGUAGCGGUGAAAUUCCAAUCGAACUUGGAGAUAGCUGGUUCUCUCCGAAAUAGCUUUAGGGCUAGCCUCGGAUGAUGACUAUUGGAGGUAGAGCACUGUUUGAUCGAGGGGUCCAUCCUGGAUUACCGACAUCUGAUAAACUCCGAAUGCCAAAUAGUUUAGUCCGGGAGUCAGACUGCGAGUGAUAAGAUCCGUAGUCGAAAGGGAAAGAGCCCAGACCACCAGCUAAGGUCCCAAAGUUUCAGUUAAGUGGAAAAGGAUGUGGGGUUGCUUAGACAACUAGGAUGUUGGCUUAGAAGCAGCCAUCAUUGAAAGAGUGCGUAAUAGCUCACUAGUCGAGUGACCCUGCGCCGAAAAUGUACCGGGGCUAAACUGAACACCGAAGCUGUGGAUCCGUAGGAUGGUAGGAGAGCGUUCUAUAGGCAGAGAAGCAUGAUCGUGAGGACAUGUGGAGCGUAUAGAAGUGAGAAUGCCGGUAUGAGUAGCGAAAGACGGGUGAGAAUCCCGUCCACCGAAUGACUAAGGUUUCCUGGGGAAGGCUCGUCCUCCCAGGGUUAGUCGGGACCUAAGCCGAGACCGAAAGGGAUAGGCGAUGGACAACAGGUUGAGAUUCCUGUACUUGUUUGAUUUGUUUGAGCGAUGGAAGGACACAGAAGGCUAAGCGGAGCGCGGAGAUGGAAAAACGCGUCCAAGCAAUGAGUGAGAAGGUGAGUGAAAGGCUUGCCUCAGACUUCAUGAGUUGUGACGGGGAGGGAAAUUUAGUACCGAAGCCGCCGACGUCACGCUGUCAAGAAAAGUUUCUAGUGAGAAUCAAACAACCCGUACCGCAAACCGACACAGGUAGUCGAGUGGAGAACACUAAGGUGAGCGAGCGAACUCUCGUUAAGGAACUCGGCAAAAUGACCCCGUAACUUCGGGAGAAGGGGUGCUGACCGCAAGGUCAGCCGCAGUGAAUAGGCCCAAGCGACUGUUUAUCAAAAACAUAGGUCUCUGCCAAAUCGAAAGAUGAUGUAUAGAGGCUGACGCCUGCCCGGUGCUGGAAGGUUAAGAGGAAGGGUUAGCCCUCGGGCGAAGCUCUGAAUUGAAGCCCCAGUAAACGGCGGCCGUAACUAUAACGGUCCUAAGGUAGCGAAAUUCCUUGUCAGGUAAGUUCUGACCCGCACGAAAGGCGUAACGAUUUGGGCACUGUCUCAACGAGAGGCUCGGUGAAAUUGUAGUACCAGUGAAGAUGCUGGUUACCCGCGACAGGACGGAAAGACCCCAUGGAGCUUUACUGUAGGUUGAUAUUGAAUGUUUGUGCCACAUGUACAGGAUAGGUAGGAGCCAUCGAAGUCGGGACGCUAGUCUCGAUGGAGGCACUGGUGGGAUACUACCCUUGUGGGAUGACCAUUCUAACCCGCGACCAUUAGCUGGUCGGGAGACAGUGUCAGUCAGGCAGUUUGACUGGGGCGGUCGCCUCCUAAAGUGUAACGGAGGCGCCCAAAGGUUCCCUCAGAAUGGUUGGAAAUCAUUCGCAGAGUGUAAAGGCAGAAGGGAGCUUGACUGCGAGACCUACAAGUCGAGCAGGGACGAAAGUCGGGCUUAGUGAUCCGGUGGUUCCGCAUGGAAGGGCCAUCGCUCAACGGAUAAAAGCUACCCUGGGGAUAACAGGCUUAUCUCCCCCAAGAGUUCACAUCGACGGGGAGGUUUGGCACCUCGAUGUCGGCUCAUCGCAUCCUGGGGCUGAAGUCGGUCCCAAGGGUUGGGCUGUUCGCCCAUUAAAGCGGUACGCGAGCUGGGUUCAGAACGUCGUGAGACAGUUCGGUCCCUAUCCGUCGCGGGCGUUGGAAAUUUGAGAGGAGCUGUCCUUAGUACGAGAGGACCGGGAUGGACACACCGCUGGUGUACCAGUUGUUCCACCAGGAGCAUGGCUGGGUAGCUAUGUGUGGACGGGAUAAGCGCUGAAAGCAUCUAAGCGUGAAGCCCCCCUCAAGAUGAGAUUUCCCAUACUUUUAAAGUAGUAAGACCCCUGAAAGACGAUCAGGUUGAUAGGUUUGGAGUGGAAGCUUAGCAAUAAGUGGAGCGGACAAAUACUAAUCGGUCGAGGACUUAUCCAA
rfam:Aerococcus urinae ACS-120-V-Col10a, complete genome.